GGUUGUAUAGCUCAAGUGGAAGAGCGCAUGUUUAGCAUACAUUAGGUCCUGGGUUCAGUCCCUGGUACCUCCU
rnacentral:tRNA from 1 species